GAGCCAUGAAGAUAUUUGUGCUAUAUGUGACAGAUGGGUCUGUCCUAAUGUCUUCUUCAGACAAAUUGAGCACAUCUGAGCUC
rfam:Lupinus angustifolius cultivar Tanjil contig_3118, whole genome shotgun sequence.